rnacentral:snRNA from 1 species
GGAUGUGAGGGUGAUCUGGCUGUGACAUCUGUCACCCCAUUGAGCGCCAGGGUUGAUUUGGUUGAUCUGGCUGGCUAGGCAGGUGUCCCAUUCCUCCCUCACCACUCCAUGUGCGUCCCUCCCGAAGCUGCACGCUCGAUUGAAGAGGACGACCAUCCCUGAUAGAGGAGGACAGUUCUUCGGUCAAGGGUAUAUGAGUAGCUGUGCUCCCCUGCUAUAACCUCUAAAUAAGUUCUCAAAGAACCAGAUUUUUGUUUUGUUGACUCUUUAUAUGUUUUUUAAAAUCUCUUU